AAACAGUACAAAAACUCACCUUUCUCAGAAUUAAGAGAAACUCAUUAAUGACUAAAUUGUGCAAAUAGGUUAGCAAAUAUUUAUGUGUGGUAACUAACAAAUGUGGAAGAGGUGACAGACAUGAAGCAAUUGGCUACAGAAUUCAACUUUCUAUAGUGGACAAUGCAUUACUGAAACUCUCAGAAGAUAAAGUAGAGGAAGUUUUCCAUGGGCUGAAUAAGCAACUUUGGUAUUUCAUUUUUUUUAAUCAUCGUAGUUAUCCUCAGUUCAGUAAUUCUGAACUGAGAACAGCAUUCUCAGGUUGUAAAACAAUUUACUUACUUGUGAAUAAUUCUGCUUUAUCAGUAGAGGCACUACCUAGACACACUUAACUGAAGGAGGACUAGAUUAGGAGUUACUUCCACAUAACUAGUAUUUGCAGUCACGCUCCAAGGCCUGAUUGCAAUCAGAAUAAGAAUUUAGAACAGUAUCCCAAAUAAGCACAAAGGGACCCACUGACAAAAAAGAAAUGGCACAAGGUUCUAACAUCUGAGAGGUUUGGAAGAGACUGUAGCAUGCACUGAUACACACUUCAACGAAAGGCCAAUUCUCAGGAGAUGUGAAAUAUGAAUGCUGCACUAUUUGGUGAAGAUACUGCGGGUGAACAAAACUGGUAUUUUUGCCCUUAGUUCCACUUGGUUCCUUCCCCUUAGUUACUUUAGAGCAAAUGAAGUAGCAGCAAUUCUGAGAAUAUACUAGGCUCUCACACCUCCAACUGAGGACUUGCCCUUUUUUGCACUUUCAGCUAAUUGGAGAGUUGAGAGUAACUGAUGAAGAAGAGAACUGGAUACAGCAUAAUUGGAUCUUCAGCACUUUUGCAUCAAAGCACUGCUUGGUAUAAUAUUCAGGACAGAAGAAUCAGCUCUUAUUCAUGUGAAAUGCAAAAGGAAGCCAACGCCCUCAACGCUCUUCUCAUUCCCAGCUGGGAGAUUACUGAGAUUUGUCAUCCCAGACAAAAUUACUACAUCAUCUGCAUAUAACAAGGCUGGAAUUGCAAGAUCUGCUAACAUUGGAGAGUAAUGAUUAGAAGAUGAGAGAGCCUGAAUUAUUGAACUGAUGUACAAAUUAAAAAGGGGCUAGAAUACACCCUUGCCUUACCCCUCUUUUGGUGGAAACAGCUCCAGAAAGGUGCCCCUAAGGGGAACAUCUGACUCUCAGUGAGGUGCUAGAAUAAAGAGUCUGGAUAAGAAGGAACAAUGUUUUGACCACUGAGGAUUCCUGAAGUUUUUGCCAUAGCCUCUCCCUUGGAAUCAGAUCAAAAGCUGAUUUAAAAUCCACAAAAGCUGCAAAAAGGGCGCCUUUGGGUGGGGAAGUGUAUUUUUCACCUAAAUGGUACAAGACCAGACAGUGGUCUAAUGUUGAACAGUCCCCUCUAAAUUCCGCCUGUUUCUCAACAAGAAUAUUUUCACUUUGGACCCAAUCCAACAGUGUCAAAUAAAGAUACCUUGCAUAUA